rnacentral:rRNA from 1 species
AUUGAACGCUGGCGGCAGGCCUAACACAUGCAAGUCGAACGGUAACAGGAAGAAGCUUGCUUCUUUGCUGACGAGUGGCGGACGGGUGAGUAAUGUCUGGGAAACUGCCUGAUGGAGGGGGAUAACUACUGGAAACGGUAGCUAAUACCGCAUAACGUCGCCAGACCAAAGAGGGGUACCUUCGGGCCUCUUGCCAUCGGAUGUGCCCAGAUGGGAUUAGCUUGUUGGUGGGGUAACGGCUCACCAAGGCGACGAUCCCUAGAUGGUCUGAGAGGAUGACCAGCCACACUGGAACUGGAACACGGUCCAGACUCCUGCGGGAGGCAGCAGUGGGGAAUAUUGCACAAUGGGCGCAAGCCUGAUGCAGCCAUGCCGCGUGUAUGAAGAAGGCCUUCGGGUUGUAAAGUACUUUCAGCGGGGAGAAAGGGAGUAAAGUUAAUACCUUUGCUCAUUGACGUUACCCGCAGAAGAAGCACCGGCUAACUCCGUG